rnacentral:rRNA from 1 species
UCAAGCAUGGAAGGGCGUAGGGCGGAUGCCUAGGCUCUGGGAAGCGAUGAAGGACGUGGCAAGCUGCGAUAAGCCUCGGGGAGGUGCAAACAACCUUUGAUCCGGGGAUUUCCGAAUGGGGCAACCCGGCAGGGGUCAUACCCUGUCACCGCCGGCUGAAUCCAUAGGCCGGUCGGAGCGAACGCGGGGAACUGAAACAUCUCAGUACCCGUAGGAACAGAAAUCAACCGAGAUUCCCCUAGUAGCGGCGAGCGAAAGGGGAGUAGCCCAAACCAGCCGGUGCGCCGGCUGGGGUUGUAGGACCGCCAUAUAGGGACGUGUCCGGCUAGACGAACGGUCUGGAAUGACCGGCCAGAGCGGGUUAAAGCCCCGUAGUCGAAAGCCUCCGGCACACCCUGGCGGUAUCCUGAGUAGCUUGGGGCACGAGAAACCCUGAGUGAAGCUGGGUGGACCAUCAUCCAAGGCUAAAUAUUCCCCAGAGACCGAUAGUGAACCAGUACCGUGAGGGAAAGGUGAAAAGCACCCCGUCGAGGGGAGUGAAAUAGAUCCUGAAACCCUGCGCCUAUAAGCAGUGGGAGCGCCACGGGGCUUGCCCCGGCGUGACCGCGUGCCUUUUGCAUAAUGAGCCAACGAGUUAUGGUCUGUAGCAAGGCUAAGCCCAUGGCGGAGCCGCAGCGAAAGCGAGUCUGAACAAGGCGCAUGAAGUUGCAGGCCAUAGACCCGAAACCAAGUGAUCUAUCCCUGUCCAGGUUGAAGCCUGGGUAAGACCAGGUGGAGGACCGAACCGGUGUGCCUUAAAAAGCGCUCGGAUGAGGUGGGGAUAGGAGUGAAAGGCUAAUCAAACUUGGAGAUAGCUGGUUCUCCCCGAAAUAUAUCGAGGUAUAGCCUUGCGCACUUGGCUGCCGGUGGUAGAGCACUGAAUGGACUAGGGGGCCCACCAGCCUACCAAACCCAAUCAAACUCCGAAUGCCGGCAAGCGUAAAAGCGCAGGAGUCAGACUGCGAGAGCUAACUCCCGUGGUCGAAAGGGAAACAACCCAGACCAUCAGCUAAGGUCCCAAAGUGCCGGUUAAGUGGGAAAGGAUGUGGGGGUGCAUAGACAACCAGGAGGUUAGCUUAGAAGCAGCUACCCUUUAAAGAAAGCGUAACAGCUCACUGGUCAAGCGCACCCGCGCCAAAAAUAUAACGGGGCUAAACCGGUCACCGAAGCUAUGGGUGCGGGAUUCUUCCCGCGCGGUAGGGGAGCGUUCGUUGCGGUGUGAAGCCGGAUCGGCAAGGGCCGGUGGACGGCAACGAAGAGCUUAUGUUGGCAUAAGUAACGAUAAAGCGGGUGAGAAUCCCGCUCGCCGUAAGCCCAAGGGUUCCUCAGCCAUGCUCGUCAGCUGAGGGUUAGUCGGAUCCUAAGGUGAGGCCGAAAGGCGUAGCCGAUGGGAAACGGGUUAAUAUUCCCGUACUGGUCAUCCCGCGUUAUGAGCGAUGGGGGGACGCAGAAGGUUAGGUCGACCGGGUGAUGGACGUCCCGGCUCAAGGGUGUAGGUGGGCCGUGCAGGCAAAUCCGCACGGCCGCUACCACCGAGACCCGAUGACGAGAGGCGAUUUUCGCCUCGCAAAGCGAUCGACACCCCGCUGCCAAGAAAAGCCCCUAAGCCAGUUGGAUGGCCAUCCGUACCGGAAACCGACACAGGUGGGUGAGGAGAGUAUCCUCAGGCGCGUGAGAGAAACCUCGCUAAGGAACUCUGCAACUUGAGUCCGUAACUUCGGAAGAAGGACUGCCCGUAGUAGGUGAACACCCUCGCGGUGGGAGCCCAGGCGGGUUGCAGCGAAGAGGCCCAAGCGACUGUUUAGCAAAAACACAGCACUCUGCAAACGCGAAUAAGCGGACGUAUAGGGUGUGACGCCUGCCCGGUGCCGGAAGGUUAACAGGAGAGGUUCGGGGGCAACCCCAAAGCCUUGAAUCGAAGCCCCGGUAAACGGCGGCCGUAACUAUAACGGUCCUAAGGUAGCGAAAUUCCUUGUCGGGUAAGUUCCGACCUGCACGAAUGGCGUAACGAUUUGGGCGCUGUCUCGGCGUGGUUCUCAGUGAAUUUGAAAUAGCCGUGAAGAUACGGUUAACCCGCAGCAAGACGGAAAGACCCCGUGAACCUUUACUCUAGCUUGACAGUGAAUCUUGGAACGAUCUGUGUAGGAUAGGUGGGAGGCACUGAAGCCGGUGCGCCAGCACCGGUGGAGCCGUCCUUGAAAUACCACCCUGGUUGUUUCGAGAUUCUAACUCAGGCCCGUUUAGCCGGGCCGAGGACCCUGUCUGGUGGGGAGUUUGACUGGGGCGGUCGCCUCCUAAAGCGUAACGGAGGCGCGCGAUGGUUCCCUCAGGCCGAUUGGAAACCGGCCGUUAGAGUGCAAAGGCACAAGGGAGCCUGACUGCGAGAGCGACAGCUCGAGCAGGGACGAAAGUCGGCCUUAGUGAUCUGGUGGUCCCGCAUGGAAGGGCCAUCACUUAUCGGAUAAAAGGUACUCCGGGGAUAACAGGCUUAUCGCGCCCAAGAGUUCACAUCGACGGCGCGGUUUGGCACCUCGAUGUCGGCCCAUCGCAUCCUGGGGCUGGAGCAGGUCCCAAGGGUAUGGCUGUUCGCCAUUUAAAGCGGUACGCGAGCUGGGUUCAGAACGUCGUGAGACAGUUCGGUCCCUAUCUGCUGUGGGCGUCGGAGAUUUGAGAGGCGCUGCUCUUAGUACGAGAGGACCGGAGUGGACGGACCUCUGGUGUUCCGGUUGUCCCGCCAGGGGCAUCGCCGGGUAGCCAUGUCCGGAAGGGAUAACCGCUGAAAGCAUCUAAGCGGGAAGCCCCCCUCAAGAAAGAUCUCCCGUGGGCUAACCCCCACCUCAAGGUCCCAGGAAGACCACCUGGUUGAUAGGCGGGAGGUGCAAGCGCGGCAACGUGCUCAGCUGACCCGUACUAAGCGACCGUGCGGCUUGACUUC